rnacentral:rRNA from 1 species
GACAGAGGGGGCAAGUGUUGCUCGGAAUUACUGGGCGUAAAGGGCGCGUAGGCGGGAUGGCAAGUCGGUCGUGAAAUCCCUCGGCUCAACCGAGGAACGUCGAUCGAUACUGCUGUUCUUGAGGAUUGCAGAGGAGACUGGAAUUCCCGGUGUAGCAGUGAAAUGCGUAGAGAUGUGGAGGAAUACCGAUGGCGAAGGCAGCCCCCUGGGAUAACACUGACGCUCAUGCACGAAAGCGUGGGGAGCAAACAGG